GAGUUUGAUCGUGGCUCAGAGUGAACGCUGGCGGCAGGCCUAACACAUGCAAGUCGAGCGGCAGCGCGGUGGUAGCAAUACCACUGGCGGCGAGCGGCGGACGGGUGAGGAACACAUCGGAAUCUACCUUUUUGUGGGGGAUAACGUAGGGAAACUUACGCUAAUACCGCACACGACCUUGGACCGACAGGUGCUUAGUGAAAGCGGGGGCCCAGCAAUGGCCUCGCGCAGAUAGAUGAGCCGAUGUCCGAUUAGCUAGUUGGCGGGGUAAUGGCCCACCAAGGCGACGAUCGGUAGCUGGUCUGAGAGGACGACCAGCCACACUGGAACUGAGACACGGUCCAGACUCCUACGGGAGGCAGCAGUGGGGAAUAUUGGACAAUGGGGGCAACCCUGAUCCAGCCAUGCCGCGUGGGUGAAGAA
rnacentral:rRNA from 1 species